rnacentral:rRNA from 1 species
AGCGGCAKCUUACACAUGCAGUCGAACGAUGAAGCCGCUUCGGUGGUGGAUUAGUGGCGAACGGGUGAGUAMCACGUGGGCAAUCUGCCCUUCACUCUGGGACAAGCCCUGGAAACGGGGUCUAAUACCGGAUAACACUCUGUYCCGCAUGGGACGGGGUUGAAAGCUCCGGCGGUGAAGGAUGAGCCCGCGGCCUAUCAGCUUGUUGGUGGGGUAAUGGCCUACCAAGGCGACGACGGGUAGCCGGCCUGAGAGGGCGACCGGCCACACUGGGACUGAGACACGGCCCAGACUCCUACGGGAGGCAGCAGUGGGGAAUAUUGCACAAUGGGCGAAAGCCUGAUGCAGCGACGCCGCGUGAGGGAUGACGGCCUUCGGGUUGUAAACCUCUUUCAGCAGGGAAGAAGCGAAAGUGACGGUACCUGCAGAAGAAGCGCCGGCUAACUACGUGCCAGCAGCCGCGGUAAUACGUAGGGCGCAAGCGUUGUCCGGAAUUAUUGGGCGUAAAGAGCUCGUAGGCGGCUUGUCACGUCGGAUGUGAAAGCCCGGGGCUUAACCCCGGGUCUGCAUUCGAUACGGGCUAGCUAGAGUGUGGUAGGGGAGAUCGGAAUUCCUGGUGUAGCGGUGAAAUKGCGUAAAAA